rnacentral:ncRNA from 1 species
GCUUGAUUUGACUCAACAUGGGAAAACACCCUGCCUGGUCACCGUAAUAACUGACAGAUUGAAAGCUCUUUCUCGAUUUGGUGGCUGGUGGUGCAUGGCAACUCUUAGUUGGUGGAGCGAUUUGUCUGCUUUAUUCCGAUAACCAUUGAGACUGUAGUCAGCUAAAUAGUGACUAGAUUUUUAUGUCUGGUCUAUCUCUUCACAAAGAUCCCUCAUAUGAGAAGUCUCGAGUCGGUUAGUCACCAGGCUACGUGGCGUGUCACCAGGUGGCGGAUAGGGGGUUAAUCGCAGACCAAAAGCAACCUUUGCUUCUCUAAGACGCAGAUGGAUCCA